UACAGAGGCCCCAAGCGUUACUGAGAAUCACUGGGUUUAAAGGGUGCGUAGGUGGUCCGUUAAGUUCGUUGUGAAAGCCCUGGGCUCAACCCAGGAACUGCUUCGAAUACUGGCGGACUUGAGGCUAGUAGAGGUCACUGGAACUGACGGUGGAGCGGUGAAAUGCGUAGAUAUCGUCAGGAACGCCAAUGGUGAAGACAGGUGACUGGGCUAGAUCUGACACUGAGGCACGAAAGCGUGGGGAUCAAACGGGG
rnacentral:rRNA from 1 species